rnacentral:rRNA from 1 species
AUUGAACGCUGGCGGCAUGCCUUACACAUGCAAGUCGAACGGCAGCACGGGUGCUUGCACCUGGUGGCGAGUGGCGAACGGGUGAGUAAUAUAUCGGAACGUACCUUAUCGUGGGGGAUAACGCAGCGAAAGCUGCGCUAAUACCGCAUACGCCCUGAGGGGGAAAGCGGGGGACCGUAAGGCCUCGCGCGAUUAGAGCGGCCGAUAUCUGAUUAGCUUGUUGGUGGGGUAAAAGCCCACCAAGGCGACGAUCAGUAGCUGGUCUGAGAGGACGAUCAGCCACACUGGGACUGAGACACGGCCCAGACUCCUACGGGAGGCAGCAGUGGGGAAUUUUGGACAAUGGGGGCAACCCUGAUCCAGCAAUGCCGCGUGAGUGAAGAAGGCCUUCGGGUUGUAAAGCUCUUUUGUCAGGGAAGAAACAGCAGCUCUAACACAGUCUGCGAAUGACGG